rnacentral:rRNA from 1 species
UACGUAGGGUGCGAGCGUUGUCCGGAAUUAUUGGGCGUAAAGGGCUCGUAGGCGGCUUGUCACGUCGGGUGUGAAAGCCCGGGGCUUAACCCCGGGUCUGCAUUCGAUACGGGCUGGCUAGAGUGUGGUAGGGGAGAUCGGAAUUCCUGGUGUAGCGGUGAAAUGCGCAGAUAUCAGGAGGAACACCGGUGGCGAAGGCGGAUCUCUGGGCCAUUACUGACGCUGAGGAGCGAAAGCGUGGGGAGCGAACAGG